ensembl:lncRNA
CUCUCUCUCUCUCUCUCUCUCUCUCUCUCUCUCUCUCUCUCUCUCUCUCUCUCUGACCCUCUCAGAUGGCCCAGGAUUACCGAGUGACCAAGUUCCUGACGCUGCUCAGAGAUGAGGGCUCCGGCCGGGCCUGCUACGAGUAGAGGGUAGAGGAGGAGGAGGAGGAGGAGGAGGAGGAGGAGGGCUCCGAUGGGACCGACCGUCCAAGCGCGACGUGCGAGGAAGGGAAAGGAGCGACCUUCCCGCCCACCCGGCCCACCGCGGCCCAGGGAUCCACGCACACGCCUCCACCCUCCACCUGUGGGCCCGCCGGGGGUCAGAGGGCGGAGAAGCAGCGGCCUGACUUCCUAUUAGCAUGUUAUGAGCAUCCAGUCCCAGCCAAGACCAACCCGCCCCGCCUCCUCGUCUCCAUGCCGACAGAUUGACAGCCCAAAUUGACAUAUCACUGAAACCUGUUGAGAAUUGUGCUUUUACUGUUUAAGAACAUCAUGUAUAAUAUAUCUAUCGAUAUAUCUAUCGAUAUAUAUAUAUGGAUAGAUACAUACUGAUAUUUGAAAAAGGAUAUCACAAAAAAGGUUAAAUAAAGUGCUGUCUUGUGCGUUGUGCAUUGAAAAUAAAUAGUAGCCAUGUAUGUUUUUAGCUUCCCGUAUUUGUUGUAGCAUAUAUCUCUUGUGCCCGCCGCGAGUUAGAGUUUGGUCAAUAUGUUCAUGCUCUUAUGCAACCUUAGCCAGGCCAUAGGGUUUAUACGUGGUAUACUGAUGACUGGAAACCUCAAACCCGCUCACAUUUCCACCUCUCAACCCCGCCGGAGUCGGACGUGAAGUGUGUCGGGACAAAAAUAUACAUAAAAACGAAAUGUUGUUUUAACGUGUAAAUGUAAACCCUUUAAAUGUAUUUAAGAAAACAAUUCUUGUUUGUAUAUAGUAUAUAAAUAUAUAUAUUAAAAAUACAGUGUAUAAAACAAAGUGAUUCAAAAAAUGGAAAGACAAUUGAGUACCUAGGACAUAUUUCGGUGUGAUGCUCCUACCGGUCGCUUCGAGGGACGUUGAGUCUGCUGUUCCAGAGUACCUUGUGGAUUACUGAAGGUUGUCUGUGGCGUGCAGUGCAGUGCUAGGUAAAGUGAGGCAUCUUCAGUGUUUAGAUUCAAUUAAACAACACACACCUUUCCAGCACUUAUCGUGUGAAAAUGUUUUUUUUUUUUUUACACGUGAUAGAUAUUCUUGUGCGAAAUAUUUAUUUGAAUCCAUGUUUCUCGAAGUGUAAGUGUGUGUGCGUGUGUGGCUGCGUGUAUGUGUGUGUGCAUUCGUGUAUUUUUCCCUAUAUGUAAGCUUCAGCAUGCGACUGUGUUGAGGGGAGUGUGUGUGUGUAAGUACAUUUCGGUUUUAUUCAGUUCAGCGUGACUAACGUGUGUUCUUUUCCUGCCCAUGUCAGUGGUCCGUGCUUAUUGUCCAACCGACGCUCUUUUUUUGUGUUCCAAACCCCUAACGAUUUAUGUGUGUGUGGGUGUAUUAUCAUGCAAGAUGUAUUAUUGCAAUAAAAUCACAGAUGCACAGGUAAUGGACAACUCUAGCCCUUUCUGC